CUACGGGAGGCUGCAGUGGGGAAUAUUGGACAAUGGGGGAAACCCUGAUCCAGCAAUGCCGCGUGUGUGAAGAAGGCCUGCGGGUUGUAAAGCACUUUCGGUUGGGAGGACUGCUUCUAGCACUAAUAUUGUUGGAAGUUGACGUUACCUUCAGAAGAAGCACCGGCUAACUCCGUGCCAGCAGCCGCGGUAAUACGGGGGGUGCAAGCGUUAAUCGGAAUUACUGGGCGUAAAGCGCGCGUAGGCGGCUAGAUCAGUCGGGUGUGAAAGCCCCGGGCUUAACCUGGGAACUGCACCCGAUACUGUCUAGCUUGAGUACAGGAGAGGAGAGUGGAAUUCCACAUGUAGCGGUGAAAUGCGUAGAUAUGUGGAGGAACACCAAUGGCGAAGGCAGCUCUCUGGCCUGAUACUGACGCUGAGGUGCGAAAGCGUGGGGAGCGAACAGGAUUAGAUACCCCGGUAGUC
rnacentral:rRNA from 1 species